AAACUCUCCCUCAAUGGAUUAGAUGAUGCCCACUCACACCGGCCAUCUACUCCACUGAGUCCACCGCCAGAAAUGCUCAUCUCAUCUGGAAACACCCUCACAGACACAACCAGAAACAAUAGUUAAUCUGGGCACCCCCUGGUGCCCAGAUUUUCUGAUGACACAGAAAAUCAACCACCACAAGUACCUACCAAGCGUCAGGAGCUGUUUUAAACACUGAGGAUACAGCAGCGAGCAAACCAAAAUAGAGCAAAACCAAACCCUCUUGAAGCUUGCAUGGGAUUGGGCUUGAGAUUGAUGACAAAUAAGUAAGUAAAAUACAUAGUGUGUUACAUUGUAAUAAGUGCCAUGGAGAAAAAAUAAAUAAGAGGGUUGGGCAUACCAUGAUGGGAAGGUAGGUUUAAAUGUGGUGGUCGGC
rnacentral:lncRNA from 1 species